rnacentral:rRNA from 1 species
UACAGAGGUGGCAAGCGUUGUUCGGAAUUACUGGGCGUAAAGGGCGCGUAGGCGGUCAGGUCAGUCCCGUGUGAAAUCCCUCGGCUCAACUGAGGAACUGCACGGGAAACUGCCUGGCUUGAGUUCGGGAGAGGGAAGCGGAAUUCCGGGUGUAGCGGUGAAAUGCGUAGAUAUCCGGAGGAACACCGGUGGCGAAGGCGGCUUCCUGGACCGACACUGACGCUGAGGCGCGAAAGCGUGGGGAGCAAACAGG